AAUGACACCAACAGUUUGGGUGGGCGCACGGGCUCCGCUCCCUAAUGCUGCAGGGCGCUGGAUAGCUCGAUCGCCUCCCGCUUUUGAAAAUAGCUGAUCGGGAUGGCUUUCGAAUGUGAACUCAUUCACAUCCCGCGCAGUUUCUGUUGCGGUGAGGCUAUGGAAUCCUGCGGUCUGUGGGUGAGAUCACAGACAAACUUCUCCCUUUGCUGAAAGGUUCAUGGCAGCCUAGGUGACUUCGACACCGACCGCCCCUCGGUUACCUACAAGAAGGANNNNNNNNNCGGCAUCCGACAGACCGUUUCAUGCGACUUCAUCGCAGGCUGCGACGGAUUUCACGGUGUGAGCCGUCCCUCGAUCGAUCAGUCCCGGAUCAAGACCUAUG
rnacentral:misc_RNA from 1 species